rnacentral:sRNA from 1 species
AAACGGAGUGUGGAAAUACGACCUGACCCCUGCAAUCCAGACCACAAGCACCCUUUAUGAGCGGGGCUUUGAGAAUAUCAUGAAGCGGCAGAAUAAGGAGCAGGUCCCGCCCCCUGCUGUGGAGCCUAAGAAAGCAGGGAACAAGAGGCAGCCAAAGAAGGUGGCAACUUCUCCCAACCAAAACCAGAAGCAGGGCCGCUUCCGCAGCCUGGAGGAAGCACUGAAAGCUGUGAGUGUGCCUAGACAUGAGACGCAGAAAGAAUGGGGCUUGAGAUUUAGAGAAGAUGAGAGGAGGGGGAGGUGGAUGGGCAGCUGAGAUCCUAUGGGAUUUGAAACACUUUAAGGGUUGAGAGGAGUUCCGGAAAAGAUGGAAACCCCAGGGGAACAGAAUGCCUGCACUUAGAAUAGAAAGGAAAUGGAAAAUUUAUAGGGAAACAUGGAUUGGUAAGAGGAAAGCCUUGAAGACCCAGGAACACCAGGGAGGAGAUGGAGAAACUGGUUAUGAUUCUCUGUCCUAUGGAAAUACUGAUCUUUCAUUUUCUGUCUUGUCCUAUGUUUUCCUCUUUUUUU